UGCGGAAGGAUCAUUGUCAAACCCUGUCCACCGGAACGACCCGCGAACUUGUUCGUACUUCUGGCGGCGGCGAGGCGCGCGCGCCUCCCGCCCCCCCCCCCCCAGGGGCGGGCGCCGCGCCCGGGGCCCCUUUGGGGGGGGCGACGGGCGCGUCGACGGCCCCGACAACAAACCACGGCGCGGGACGCGCCAAGGAACUCCAACGAGACGGCGCCGCCCCGGCACCCGUUCGAGGGGGCCGGGGGCCGGCGGCCUCUUUCGCGAAUCGAAACGACUCUCGGCAACGGAUAUCUCGGCUCUCGCAUCGAUGAAGAACGUAGCGAAAUGCGAUACUUGGUGUGAAUUGCAGAAUCCCGCGAACCAUCGAGUCUUUGAACGCAAGUUGCGCCCGAAGCCGUUAGGCCGAGGGCACGCCUGCCUGGGCGUCACGCAACGCGUCGCCCCCCAACCCCUGCCGGGGGCGCUUGGGGGGGUGGCGGACACUGGCCCCCCGCGAGCGGCCGCUCGCGGUCGGCCUAAAACCGAGUCGCCGGCGACGGACGGCACGACGAGUGGUGGAGUUUGACACGCGUUCGGAGCGAGGCACGCUCCGCGCCGUGCCGCGCCCGUCGCCACGGGCGGUCUCGCGCGACCCCGGAGCCUCGAGCAUCGACCGCGACCCCAGGUCAGGCGGGACUACCCGCUGAGUUUAAGCAUA
rnacentral:rRNA from 1 species